UAAUGAUUAGUUUAUAGGAACAUUGCAAUUUGACUGCAAAAGAAGUAGUGUAAUUCUACUAUUAUUAA
rnacentral:tRNA from 1 species